rnacentral:rRNA from 1 species
AAUGAACGCUGGCGGCAUGCCUAACACAUGCAAGUCGAGCGGAAGCACGAUAAGAUCGUUCCCUUGCUGUUAGCGGGGGACGGACGAGUAACAAGUGGAUCACCUACUUAUAUUUCUGGGAUAAUUACGGAAAAAAGCUGAUACUAAUAGCUCAUACUACCUACGGGUUGGAUCAAAAGUGCUUCACAGCUUUCGCGUUUGAAUUAGCCGGUUCCGCGUUGCAUUAGCUAGUUGGUAAGGUAACGGCUUACCAAGGCAACGAUGCGUAGCUGACCUGAGAGGAUGAUCGGCCACACUGGAACUGAGACACGGUCCAGACUCCUACGGGAGGCAGCAGUGGGGAAUCUUGCACAAUGGGCGAAAGCCUGACGCAGCAACGCCGCGUGAGUGAUGAAGGUCUUCGGAUCGUAAAGCUCUUUUAUUGGGGAAGAACAUAUGUAUGAGUAUCUGUGCACAUCUUGACGGUACCUAAUCAAAAAGCAACGGCUAACUUCGUG